UGCUGACCACAGACAAAUGUAAACUUUUCACUAAUUAAGUGGGUAAUAUUGUUUCAACAAGUGAGACUUGAUGGUAAUAAUUGUUUUUCAUCUGUUGUGCAAGAGCCUUCCAAAUGCCAAGGUGAAAACUCCUUCAGUUCCGAGGCGCUCAUUUCACACUGCACACGUUCGUCUCCCCGCUGAGAUGUGUGUGGUGCCCUGUGAACAUUCCAAGAAGAUAACGACCAACCCGUGUGCUUUUAGGAUUUUCGGGAGUCUAAUUUCUCCCUAAACUGAUUGAACUUAGGAUAGAAUCAAGAAGAUCCUGAGCAGAUAAGAAGUGAAGUGCGGGAAGGCCCUGCUGAGUCGCUCAACACUUGUUUGAGCCUCAGAGAACUCAACUUCCCUGUAUGCUGUUCUGUUCUAUCUACGACAUCCCCAGGAAAGGAAGCUGGCAUCACCAACGCACAUGAGCGACCAACGUAUUUUCUGAUGGCCACGCGUUACACACAGCCAAGAUCGCCUCCAAUUGGAGCAUAUAAGCCCAGGAACCAAUGUAACUGAACGUGGGAGACAAAUGAAAUAGGUGUCCACUGUUGUUUUAUUAAAGAUUGGGGCAGCUGGAGUCAUUGCGAGGCAAACCUAUCUAGCCCCCGGGAAUGGCUGUAGAACAGCGCUACAAGGGCUGACAGAAUGGAACCGGAAGAAUACAUUUUCUUCUUUCAACCACCACAUCAGUAAUGUAUUUUGCCUCAUUCUAACAUGGGCUGCUGGGGAAAAUCAAAACAAGAGAUUUCCCUGUAAACUGUGAGUCCAAAGUGAGGUCAACUUUAGCGCCCUCAGCUGGUUGCUGCAGUUCGCAUAUCCCCCUUUUAACCAUGGAUAAUUUCCUCCACUGCACAGCGGUCCUGCUAGUUCACAGAAGAUGGAAGCUGUGUUCUUGUGCUUUGCUGAUUGCCUACAGAGGGACUGGUGUGAUUUGGAUGCUAAUGUUACUUUUCUGUCACUUGUUGCUGAAGGAAAGAAAACGUUGCCCUGUUUUAUUUCCAUGUGUGGUAAUAAGCAUACUAAUUCACUAGCAGAAUAUGAAUAAGCACAUUUUUUAACAAUGAGUAGACACAAAUAAGAAUUAAAAUGAGGGACAGUAGUUACAUUUUGUGAGAUUAGGAAAGAGAUUUGAGUCUAUGCUAAUAUAUCAAAUGUGUGCCGUGUUGAUGUUCUCACGAUAAUAUUAUAUCCCUGUAAAGAUGCCUCCCCAAAUUAUACUCCUAGUAGCAAUGUUAUUACAUUGCCCCCUAGAAAUUAGUAGCAUAAAUUGGACAUCUGUCCAAUCCAUGACCUCUGUGGUCCGUCAGACUUGACCUCAGACAUCAUUGGCCAUUGAAUACAGAGUAUUUGUUUGAUGUGAAAGAAGCCAGAUACUAUGUUGUACUGGGGGAGAACAUAACUACAGCUUCAGAGCUUAUCUCUACUGCCACCCAGCUUGUGAUUCCCCCAAAAACACUGCACUGUGUGGGCCUCAGUUUCCCCAUAAAUAAAGUAAAAAUCAGAAUCACGAUUGCCUUGAAGAGCUAUUAGAAAGAUUAAAUGAAUUAGUAUUUAUGAGAUACUGAGAACAGUACCAGAUGGCCUUAAAAGUAACCAUUAAAGCACGGAGCCCAAAGCCAAACCUAAUAUCCCCUUAUGAGGAACAGUGACAUCUCCAACUUCAGAUCUGCGCCCCCGCUUUUUUUUUUUUUUUUAUCAGAACUGAGGAAUCUUCCAAGCCCGUCUAGGCUACACAUUUCAGGCUGUUUACGUUCAAAGCUUGUUUCUGGGAACUCGGAAAGCAUCUGGUCUCUCAGAUCAUACAGUCAAAAUAUUACGUAUUACUGAUUUGAUAGCCUCUUAGUCAUGGCAACUGGUGUCCGACUGGGUGUAGUUUUUCCCAUGCAUGGAUACAGAACAGCAGGAUCAGGGCAGGUGAGGUGUACGUAUGUCUGCCUCUGGUGAUACCUAACGCGUUGCAGUUUGGGAGUACGGAAUCAGUUGCAGAAAGACGUGAAUUAGGAGCAGUAGAAAAAUAGGACCUACUGAAAACCCUUGCGAAGCCCCUGCAAAGCCCCUGAGAAACCCCAGGGCAGGAUUAUAUUUGUUAUCCCCACCUAAGGCUCCCUUAUUCAGACGGGGUUUUUGAAGGAUUACUCUGUGCGCUAUUUUCAGUUCCGCAAAUACCCUAGUGGAAAACUUGCAUUCACUUAAGAUAACACUCCCAGGGCUUCUGGAAACAUUAAGUUUUGCUGUUUGAUUGGUUGUCUGUCCUAGCCCAGCUGGAAGAGAGGAUACUUUAUCACUUUGGUGCAGUGACACAAUCAGUAACAACCAGUCUUGCCCCGAUGAGGAAUUCUGAAUACCAAUUGCAUAUGUCAUUGGUGGCAAGAGAUGAGGGAAACAAUUGGAAGAUUGCCAAAGCAAAUGCAUUGCUUUUAGAAAAAAAAAGACCUUUCUGAAUACAGAACCCAGUGAAGAAAAGAAAAGGGUCCCAGAUAAUAAAGAGAUUCAGUCACAGGGCUCUAGUAAGCCCCUCUCAGCUCUAGACUACCAUCUUUUGAUUCCAAUGGGUCAAGUAGGGCAUAGAGAAUGAAGAUAAGGUCAAUUAAGUUUAGAUGAGGGAGAAAAAUGUGAACUGGACUAAAGGAGGGAAAUAUAAAAACUAGCUACAAAUGCAUGUGAAAGUGGUAAAACAUAAAAAGGUUUUAUUUUCUUUCACAGAAAGCUGAGAAAUCAUAAUUACAAAGGAGGACAGUGGCUUUCCAGUGACAAUUACUGCCAUUGACAUAAAGAACUACUGUGACAAAAUUACAGUUGUUAACUGAGAGCUAAAAGGAACAUUUGUAUCAGAGAAAAAAAGCAAGUACUUACUUCCCAGAUGAAGAUCUCAGAGCCCAUGAGGCUGGCAACUCUGAGUUGGCUUGAAAGACAUCAUUAAUGAUACAAUGACAAAAAGACCAGGGUCAUCCAUGGAAUGAAGAGUAACACAAAACUGAAGGAUACAUUGUGAAAGUCAGAACAAAACCAGAGAGAUCAUAUUCAAGGUGAGAUCUGAGCAGAGUGAUUGAGCCUACUCACCCAGUGGAAAUGGACUCUGUCUGUAUAAAUUGUUACAGUUAAUGCAUCAAAAUCAUCAAGGGUAGAGUACUUGUAAAAUUGAAAGAGCAUCAUUUGGAGAUUCACUAAGAGUAAUGUAACUCAUGUUUCCUUCAUUUGUAAUCUAGAAUUCCAUGUUAGUCACAAAAGAAAAGGAGAGUAACUAAACAGGUACUAUAUUCCAGAACACAUCGUUUCUAGCACUUCAUUAGCUAGAAAAAAAUAACAGCAAAUGAACUCAGGAAUUGAAUCUAGCUUAAUACCAUGCCACAGUUUCUGCAAUGAUGCAGAUAAUCUCCCUCUGCCUUGUUGAAAAUAGUGGACACUCAACAUGUGUCUAAAACAUCUCUGGCUUUGGCAUAUUGAUCAGUGGAAUCUGGAUCCAGAUGUAAACCCAUGCACCUAUAGACACAUGAUUAUUGAUGAAGAGUCCAGAAAUACACAAUGAAAACAAAAGACAGCAUCUUCCACAAAUGAUGAUAGUCAAACUGGAUGUUUGCAUGUAGAAGAAUGCAUAUAGAUUCAUUUUUAUCAUCUUGCACAAAAGGUAAGUCCAAGUGAAUCAAGGACCUCAACAUAAAGCUAGAUACCCUGAACAUGAUAGAAGAGAAAGUGAGGAAUGCCCUUGAAUCCGUUGGCACAGGAGUAGACUUUCUAAAGAGAACACUGAAAGUGAGGGCACUAAGAUUAAUGAUUAAUUAAUGAGACUUUAUUAAAUGGAAUACCUAACUCCUGUAAGGCAAAGGACACCGUUGAUUAGACAGAGGUAACCUACACAGUGGAAAAAGAUUUUUACCAACCCCAUAUAUGAUAAAGGUAUAAUAUCAAAAAUAUAUAUUUAACAAACUCAAAAUAAACUCAAAUUAAAUGUCAAAAACCCAAUAAUCUAAUUUUAAAAUGGGGCACAUAUGUAAAUAAAGGAUUCUCGAUAGAGAAAUCUCAGAUGGAUGAGAAACACAUUAAGAGUUGUUCAACAUCCUUAGCCAUCAGGAAAAUACAGAUCAAAACUACUUUGAGAUUUCAUCUUACUGCUGACAGGAUUGUUAAGGUCAACUACUCAAGUCAUAGGCCAUGCUGGUGAGAUUUGGAGAAAGGGGAACACUCCUACAUUAUAGGUUGGAGUGCAAACUAGUACAGCUAUUAUAGAAAUCAAUAUAAUUCCUCAGGAAACUGGAAAUUGAUCUACAAGAUUCACCUAUGCAAUUCUUGGGCAUAUACCCAAAGGACAUCCCAUCCUACCACAAGGACACUGGCUCAUCUAUGUUUCUUGUGACUUUAUUCAUUAUAUCCAGAAACUAGAAACAACUUAAUGUCUCUCACCAGAAGAAUGGAUAAAGAAAAUGUGGUACUUUUACACAAUGGAGUAUCACUCAGCUGUUAAAAAAGUGAGAUCAUAAAAUUUGCAGACCAAUGGAUGCAACUAGAAAAAGUCUUCCUAAUUGAGAUAACCCAAAAUCAAAAAUGUUAAAUAUGGUAUUUAUUUACUUAUAAGUUGAUAUUUGCUGUUAAGUAAAUAAUAAUCAAGAUACAAUCUGUAGACUCAGAGAGUUUAAGUAAAGAAGAGAUAUGGGGUGUGGAGUGGGAGACAGUAAUUUGUGUAUCUCCCUCAGAGGAAGAAAUAGAAUAAAUUUUGAAGGUGGGCUAGAGGCUGGGGUAGAGAGGAAUGGGAAGAAUGGGGAAGAUGAAGGGAGAGAAUGUGGUGAGAGACGGUUGGAAAUGGGGAAUAUUGGAAGGGGAUGGAAACCUAGUAGAGUGAAGACUUCCUGGAAUUUAUGAGGGUGACCCUAGGGAGGGUUCCGAGUAGUGGAGGAAACAGAGUCUGAACUGGCCAUCUUUUAUAGCACAUAAGACUUCCAGUGGUGUGACUUGAUUACAUUCCUUUGAGUUAUUGGCCAAAUGGUCCUGUGGAGAUCUCAGGCUAUGCUAGGACAAAAGGUUACUUCUCUAAAAGCUGCCAGUAGGGCCCCCAACAUCCACAUAGCUCAUUGAAUGUAGAGAGUCCAAGAUGAGGUGGACAUGGAGUCUUAACCCAUAAGUUCCAGUCUCUUUGGAAUGCUUAAAUUUUUGUCUCAAAUGAGGAGAUAUUUUACUUGAAAAAAUGAUUGUGAGAGGACAGUGGAGAUUUGUCACAAUA